CCCCUGGUGGCCGAGUGGUAGGACUCACUAAAGGCUGGCUGGGAUGGCCGCGGGUUCGAUCCCCGCACAGGGGA